rnacentral:tRNA from 1 species
GGGAAUGUAGCUCAGUGGUAAAGCGCUUGCCUCGCAUGCAAGAGAGAUCCUGGAUUCAACCCCU